ACAGAAAUGGGAGGGAAAGGAAAGCUUAGCUUCAACUAUAGAGCAUGUGGUUCACAUGUAACACUCUUUCCACAUGUUCAGUUUAAACUAAAACAUAUUCAUCACUUAUCCCUCCCAUCCGAGUAUCUCCGCCGCGCCGGAGCUCGUCACCGGUAGCGGUGGAGCACCAAAUACCGUAACCAAUUAUACCAUUUCAAUCCAAAAUUUGAGCUCUAACUAAAUCUCAUGUUAAUUUCCACUAAAACCUCCUAAAUUAUCUAGAUCGAUCCAAUUUAUCUCAUGAACCCUAACUACUCAAACAAAAAUUAACCUUUUAUAUGGAGGAAUCCAAGACCCUAAGGUUAGGGAUUUUAUUCCUCAGUCUCUCCCCUACAUGGUGGUAACUAUAAAAAUUCCUAAAGAUGAAGAAAUGUCACUUACCUUCCGAAGAUAUGAAGUUUGAGCUUGAAGGUCUUGAUGGAGAAGAUUUCAGGUGAUGGUUGAAUGAAUCAUGUGAAGUGUUAUGGAUUACAAAUGGUGAUAAUUUACUAAACAGGUUUUACUGCAUGGGUCAUUUGCUUGACAAAUGCAGGUCGUGUUUAAUUUACAGGUUUCAGGUUAAUGAUUUGCAAGAGCAGGUAAUGUUUCAACAGGUUUUGGUUAAUUGAUUGGCAAAUGCAGGUUUGUUAGGCUGAUGAUGACCUGUUGAUGAAGGUUUAGUUGUAACUCACAAACUAGUUAAAUGGUUAGGUGUUAGGAGCAACUUGAUGGGUGAGCAAUGUUAUUGCAUUCUUGUUGCAUGUCAAGGCAGCUUCCAAAUGCAUUGAAUGAAGGGUGGGAUAAGCAUGUAGCAAAGUUAAGUGCAGCAGGGCCUAGAUGCAACAGGACAAGUUGCAUCAGGGUAUACCAUGGCACCAAAUCAGGGCUAGGACUUGGUAUUUGGUCAUGGUUUCAAGACAUGGCAAAUUAAAUGGCAAAAACAAGGCUUGGUGCAAAAAUGUGGUUUUCUUGUUCAUGAAGAAACUUGGUCAUGGAAUCACAUGGAAAGAUUAGAAAGGAUAUGGAAUUCAAGUAGGCAUUAGGGUUAGGUCAUCGCAUGCAACCACUGCCUCUAUGAUUUCGGCUUUGGGGUCAUGCAUUAACUUGUUUAUUGCUUUUUGGAUUUAUACAACUUCGAUUUCGGAUUGUAUCGAAAUACAUUUUUUUCUCUUCACCACCUAAGAUUUUAAGUCAUACUUCUACAAGUCUCAAGCUAAAUUCACUAUUUAUGAUGGAGCGUGAUAGUUCUUAUGAAUUAUGAUUGUCGGUGAAGGCAAUAUCAAAAUUAAUAGAUUAAUGUAGCUUAAAGUGAUUA